rnacentral:rRNA from 1 species
UACGUAGGGGGCAAGCGUUGUCCGGAUUUAUUGGGCGUAAAGCGCGCGUAGGCGGCCCGGUAAGUCCGCUGUGAAAGUCCAGGGCUCAACCCUGGAAAGCCGGUGGAUACUGCCGGGCUAGAGUCCGGAAGAGGCGAGUGGAAUUCCUGGUGUAGCGGUGAAAUGCGCAGAUAUCAGGAGGAACACCGGUGGCGAAGGCGGGUCUCUGGGCCGAUACUGACGCUGAGGAGCGAAAGCGUGGGGAGCGAACAGG